GAAGACAGAUCCAAAAAUCUUGCUAUGAUUUACAUCAAAGAGUGUUCUGCCUACAUUUUCUUCUAGUAGUUUUACGGUUUCUAUUUUUACACUUAGGUCUUUAAUUCAUUUUGAGUUUAUUUUUGUAUAUGGUGUUAGAAAAUGUUCUAAUUUCAUUCUUUCACAUGUAGCUGCCCAGUUUUCCCAGCACCACAUAUUGAAGAGACUGUCUUUUCUCCACUGUAUAUUCUUGCCUCCUUUGUCAUAGAUUACUUGACCAUAAGUGCAGGGGUUUAUUUCUGGGCUCUCUACUCUGUUCCACUGAUCUGUGUUGUCUGUCUUUGUGCAAGUACAAUACUUUUUUGAUGACUGUAGCUUUGUAGUAUAAUCUGAAGCCAGGGAGCAUCAUUCCUCAACAGAGGAAUGGAUAAAGAAUAUACAGUAUACACAUACAAAGAAGUAUUACUCAGCCAUAAAAAAGAAUGAAGUGUUCCCAUUUGUGACAACAUAGAUGGACUUGGAAGGUAUUAUGCUAAGUGAAAUAAGUCAAACAGAAAAAGCACAAAUACCAUAUGAUCUCACUUAUACAUGGAAUCUAAAAAUUACAAAAAACUAGUGACUAUAACAAAAUAGAAACAGACUCACAAAUAUCGAGAACAAACUAGUGGUCAGCAGUGGGGAGAAGGAGAGGGGGAGGGGUAGUAUAGGGGAAAUGGAUUAACAGGUACAAAGUAUUAUGUAAUAAGCUACAAGGAUGUAUUGUACAACACAGGGAAUAUAGCCAAUAUUUUUAUAAUAACUAUAAAUGGAGUAUAAACUUUAAAAAUUGCAAAUCACUAUAUGGUAUUUUUUUUCUUUAAUAAAAGAAAAAAUUUGAAAGCCAAUCUUUUUAUUAUUCAAUAUCUUGAGACCCCCAAGACCAAUAUCUGAUUAAAUGAGGCAAUAAAAAUAAAGUCCUUAAUAGAGUGUUCAACACAUAUAAAGCUUAAUAGAUGGCAGUUAUAUUUUUAAUAGCAUUUAAACACUCCAAGUUGUGUUGUGGGAAAUAAUCCUCCUAAUUACUGCCUAUUUCAUAUUAUUCCUAUUCUCAUUUUAUUAAAAGGGAAACUAGGACCUGAAAUGUGUCACAAAAUGUUAAUACAUUCAGAUUUUUCUCUCCAUCCAAUUAUUUACUCAUUCAACUAAAACAUGCUGAGCACUUAUUAUGACCCCAGCCCUCCUAGAGCUUAUGCCCUAGAACAGGAAUGAGCAAAAUGCUCCUAGAGAGGGCCACAUAGUAAAUAUUUUAGCCUUUGCAGGCCACAAAAUCUCAGCUGCAACUACUCAACUGUACAUAGAAGCCCUCAUAGACAAUGUAUAAAUUAGUGUGAGGGGUGAGUUCCAAUAAAACUUUAUUUAUAAAAACAAGCUAUAGGCCACAGUUGACCAAGUGGCCUUAGUUUGCCAGCUCCUAAUCGAAUAGUUUGGUUUUACUUUCUAAAAGCCUUCUUUAUUUAUUGGAAUUGAUUCCAAAUUGGACCUGAGGAGGCAAAGCCAAAGUAAGGUAGUUCUUCCCAGGCCAACUGCCUGAGCCAUGCAGACUUUUCUAGAUCACUGUCACUCCAAGAGUACAGAGAACCCAAAACAGGUCAUGAAGGCAGGCAGAAACUUCACCUGCCAGAGUCAUAACAAACCUUGAGUUCCCAAUGCCCUCACCUCAGAAAUGAAGAGACCAAGGCCCAAAGAGAAGAAGUGCUACUGCAUGAUCACUAGGAAACAGAAACAACUAGAGUUAGAAAUGAGCCUCCAAGAGUUCCCAUCGUGGCUCAGUGGUUAACGAAUCCGAUUAGGAACCAUGAGGUUGCGGGUUCGAUCCCUGGCCUCGCUCAGUGGAUUAAGGAUCCGGCGUUGCCGUGAGCUGUGGUGUAGGUCGCAGACACAGCUUGGAUCCUGCAUUGCUAUGGCUCUGGUGUAGGCCAGUGACUACAGCUUAGAUUAGACGCCUAGCCUGGGAACCACCAUAUGCUGCGAGAGUGGCCCUAGAAAAGGCAAAAAGACAAAAAAAGAAAAAAAAAAGAAAUGAGCCUCCAAUCCCAAAGCCCCUCCAACUAAACCUCAGUGUUCUUUCUGGAUGGAAAAAUGACGGAGGCCGGAGGGCUACCCCUGCAAAGUCUACGAAAAGUGGCUGCUCAUGGAAGCCUGUGGGAUUUUGGGGAAAAAAGGACCUGACCACAUGGGGUUUCUUGACAACUGACUCUCCGAGGAGAUGCAAAAUCUUGAUUCAAAAAGUGACCUUGAGCAAUGAGAUCCUGCUGUGUAGCACUGGGACCUAUGUCCAGUCACUUAUGAUGGAACAUGAUAAUGUGUGAAAAUAGAAUGUGUACCUGUAUGUGUAACUGGGUCACCUUGCUGUACAGCAGAAAAAAAAAAAAGUAUUGGGGAAAGAACUAUGAUUAAAAAUAAUAAUAAUAAUAAAAGAGAGUGAGUUGACAGUAUAGGACAAUAAAGAAUGUACCUGGACAAAAAAAAAAAUAAAAAGUAACCUUGGAGUUCCCAUUAUGGCACAGUGGAAACGAAUACGACUAGUAUCCAUGAGGAUACAGGUUCGAUCCCUGGCUUCGCUCAGUGGAUUAAGGAUCUGGUGUUACUGUGGCUGCAGCUCUGAUUUGACCCCUCGCCUGGGUAUUUCCAUAUGCCACAGGUGUGCCCUAAAAAGAAAAGGAAAAAAAAAAACACUAACCAUGAACUUUGGUCCAUUGAGGGGGUUUCCAGCCCCAGGCAGCUCAAUCCUGGCCACUCCUCACCCGGGCUUUUCAGGCGCUGCCCCAUGGGAAGGCAUGUCCAUCCCUCUCCACACUCAACCCGUUUUCAAAGAAAAGGUGCUCAAGUCACACGUUUAUAAUCCAAUGCGCAUGAACAUAUCUUCCUGCCACUCUCCCUAAACUACAUUCACCCAAGUUUAAACAAAUUGUAUAUGAACCUCAAUCCCCCAGUUCUGUAGAGUCAGUUGGUUCUGCAGCCUUUCGGCUCUCCUGGCUUCCCUCAGAAUCAGUUUCCAGGCACAUUUGGGAGUCUGACAACCCAGUGGAGCCAAGAAGAAACCAGACAGUACAUAUGAGUUCUGAAGUCCUGGCUUUUCUUUAGCAAACAUAUUUCUCUAUCAUUUACAGUUAAUUUUUCUACAGGGAAGUUAUUUACUUCCUAGAAGAGUGAGUUUAGAUUUUCCAGGCUAGACUAUCGAGCCUUUCGUAGUCCAGCAUUUCUUCCCCAAAGAGCCAGCACAGGUCUCCCCAAAGGUGUCCUCCAGCUAAACGAACCACCACUCUCCCCCCCAGGGCCACCACCUGCUUCGCGCCUCCAUGUCUUUGCACAGGCUGACCUGGCCUGUCCUCUUCUCCUCUCGUUCCUGGCAAUCACCUGCAACAUCCAGCUUCAAUUCCAUCUUUUCUAUGAUGUCCUCAAGGACAUUCACGGGUUCUUCUCCAAAACUACAACCUAUAUACCAUUCAUUGUGCUACAUGACAUUAUUUAGAUUCUAUGUGUGUGACCCCACCCCACCUUUGAGUUCUUUAAAGACCAGAACUGUGUCUUUUCAUCUCCAGAACUCGGCACUGGUUCCACACACAUAAUCUAAGUAAAGAAAUGUCUGGGAGUUCCCAUCAUGGCACAGUGGUUAACGAAUCCGACUAGGAACCAUGAGGUUGCGGGUUCGAUCUCUGGCCUUGCUCAGUGGGUUAAGGAUCCGGUAUUGCCAUGAGAUGCGGUGUAGGUUGCAGGCGUGGCUCGGAUACCAAGUGGUUCUGGUGUGGGCUGGUGGCUACAGCUCUGAUUAGACCCCUAGCCUGGGAACUCCAUGUGCCAUGGGAGUGGCCCAAGAAAUGGCAGAAAGACAAAAAAAAAAAAAAAAAAGAAAUGUCUGGACGUGUAUAAGGGAAUCAGUGUGGUGUAAGGCAGAAAUUAUCACAAUGUUACACAUCAACUACGCCUCAAUAAAACUAUUUAAACAAUGAAAAAAAAAUAGACACAAAGCAUACUUUCUACGUCGUCUGUGUGAUUUUCUAACGCACCAAAGAGAUUCAAAGCCAGACCACUGCGAAGGCACCAAGAAAAAGGAGAAUAGAAAAUGUUCCCCAAACAUCUCCUGACUUCUCAGACCACUUCCCACGAAGCAACAUUCUUCCUCCCAAUCGACCCAAAGGCUCUGUGACCAAAUCCACUCACCUGCUAAUGAUUUCCCAGCACAUCUAUAAAACGAACAUAUGCACUGAAUUCUCAAAAUGGGCUUCUCUCUUCUUAAUUGAAUACAUUUUUCCUGAAUAAAUGUUGAAUGUUUUUCCUCCUCCUACACAAACACCUGGCUUUAAACUGCGCCGGACCUGGGCAAGGUGCCUGCAUUCAGUCUGUUGGUAGCCUUGGAAUCCCAAGUUUGGGGACUGAAAGCGCUGAUGAGUUUUCUUUGUUUUCUGAAAUUUCCCCUCAAAAGAUGAGUUAACCAGAAUUGAACUCUGUGGACCUUCUGGGUCAGCAUCUCACGGCACCUUCUUUCACUGUCCCGUAUGCCUUGCUUUAAGAAAAUCCAAAGUCCAAAAAGCUAAAUGUCCAAGCUAUUCUUGCCUUUGGGAAGGUAUAACCAGGUAAUUUUAGUUUUCCAAGAUUUUCUGACACAGAUACUCUCCGGAUUCCACACCCACCACCUAAAGUGAAGGAUACUCGGGCGACGUUCUUUAGUGAAAAGGAGAAAAAUGCAUUGGAUGAAAUUUGGCCUUCCCCUGGCCCUGCUGCCCAGAAGCCAGACUGGAAGUCGACUCAGGUUUUCUGAAAUGCCUGCCCUAGACACAGAGGAGGGCAGUGCCUCAAUUCAGGACUUCUUUGGAACUCUCCACUGGCCACAGAAAAACAAGUACAAGGCCUACGUGACACAUGAGAUGCUAAUUCAAACACAAUAUGGAAGCAGAUCGGCUAUUUGAAAUCCACAGUUCUGCAGUCUCUUUUGCUCUGAAACAGAAAUUUCAGCUCUAGGUACCUCCUACUGCCCUUCCUGGAAGAUCUUCUGUCUUGUUUUCCCCUUGGCUCCCAGGACAUGUAGGUUCUCUCUGCGGCUUUCAUCACUCUGUGGUCAUCAGUCUGCCUCUCCCGCUCUCUCUGUUGGCAGAGAACGUGUCUCUGAGUUCGCAGAACCCAGUCUGGCUUGAUCCAUGAACGUGCUUAGUAAGUAUCUACUGAAUGUUUCUGACUGCCCUGACACUACCUUUCCCAGCUCCCCUGCAGACUCCGGGAGUGCCAAAACUUACCUGGGAUUAGCUGUGGCCCCAAGAAGACUUUCAAGACACUGAACACAGCAGGUGGCCUUCAUCUCAAUAUCCCUUUGUAGUCAGUGCCAGGUGGCCGUGGAUCAAGCUGUAUGACAAGGUGACCCCAUCUAGCCCCAGGGUCCCUACUGAUAAUUAUCUGUAUUCUUUUGAAGACAUCUUAUCUUCCUAGAAUCUGGUUCAUCUGGGAUAAGAAUGCUAUCACUUCCUGGCAGUACUCAAAUUAGGUGGCUUAUAUUCUUCUCUCUUUUCCUUUUUUGGCUACACCCUCAGCAUGUGGAAAUUCCCUGACUGGACUGAGGAUCGAAUCCAAGCCACAGCUGCAACCUAUGCCAUGCCAUAGCUGCGGCAAUGCUGGAUCCUUAACCCAUGGCACCAAAGCAGGAACACCUCUUAUAGUCUUCUUUUAAUUAAAAAAAAGUGUUAAGUCCUGUAGUUCUAAACAAUAUAAGUCAAAACUAAUUUUCCCAUAUGGGACUGAGAGGCACCAUAGAUAGGUUCACUCAUUCCUCCCCUUUCCUACCCCUCUUUUUGGCCUCCUUCAAUUAUAAUGCCUAGAAGAUGAAACUCAGGGAGUUCCCAUCAUGAUGCAGAGGAAACGAAUCCAACUAGGAACCAUGAGGUUGUGGGUUCGAUCCCUGGCCUCACUCAGUGGGUUAAGGAUCUGGCAUUGCUGUGGCUGUGGUGUAGGCCGGCAGCUGUAGCUCCGAUUAGACCCCUAGCCUGGGAACCUCCAUAUGCUGCAGGGGCGGCCCUAAAAAGACAAAAAANAA
rnacentral:lncRNA from 1 species